GUCAAUCCUACCCCUUUCUUUUAUUCUUUUUGCAGCAGUGGUGACUAAGGGGCCUUCCUCUCCCACCUGCACACAAGGAGUUGGUCCUCCUGGGCAGAGUCUCAUGCUUUGGCCUUAGCCCAUCUCUCUACAGCAUGAACAGGGCAUGCACAAAGUAGGGCAGCCACUCACUCUAGGACCCACUUCCAUUAGGGCUAAGGGACCAUCUAGGGGACACAUUUCCCUGCCCAAUCCCCACCCCCACCUGCCUUUUCUCUUAUGCUCUCAUGCUUAGCCAUAGAGCUGAAACUCUCCCAACCCCUGAGAAGUGUCCUUUGGGUGAGACUGCUCAGACCUAGCCCUUGGCCACCACAAUCAGCUCCUAUUAUGCACAGCAUUUGGCUCUCAGGCAAGCCUUCUGUUGCUUCCUUCCAACAAGUCUGAGCUCUGUCUCCAGGCCAGGCGGAGGGAGCCGGGGGCCUGCAGGGUCAGCACCAGCACCAGUGAGUGGGGCCUGGGCAGGAAGCCAGGACAUCACUGGGAGAUGCUAAGUGAGGCCAGAGCCAGAGAGCUCAGCUACCCUGAAGUCCAGGAACUGGGAACCAGGAAAUAUAGUCACGGUAACAGGAGUCUCCAGGGGACACAAGAAAUCAUUCUGGGGAUAAUGUGACCAGUUCUGCUCCGUCAUCUCCGCCCCUUCCAGGCCAUUUUUAGCAAAGUAGCUCCAUCUGAAUUCAUUCUUGCCCUUUGGAAUAUUAAAUAUGCCUGCUGGUUGGAGACACUGAGGAAGCAAGGACUGGUGGUAUUAGUGUCUGCAUUUUACUAAUGAAGAAACUGAAGCCAGAAAGGCCCUUACAGGAGGCAGAGCAGGAAUGAGUGUUGCUGAGGGGAGGCCGGAGGAUGCGGGCACUCUGAAGGACUGUGUGCCAGCUGGGGGCGAGGGAUGGGGGUCAGAGGCUGUCCCAACAGCCCCCACCCGCCACCGGGGACCUCAGCCACUCCGCCUGCAGGACGGGCCUCAUCGAUGUUGGGAGCUGCUUAUCAGGAUCCCCUGGGCCCAUGGAGACCGCAUCUUGGCACCGGAGCUAUAAAAUGGGCAUAAUAAUUCCUGCAAGAAUUAGAUGAGAUUUGCAGGCCUCAAUGAAAGAUGAUCCUAACCGGCAAACAGAGUGAC
ensembl:lncRNA